rnacentral:lncRNA from 1 species
UGAAAACAAGAUUAAUUAAGACUUAAAAGAAAAGAGAUAAUGGGUUUGUAUUGCAAAAUAAUAAAAUAAAACAAAAUAAAAUUGAUCAGUGGCAAAAGAGCACAUAGAUGAAUGAAGGUUAAUUUAUAUGAGAUGAGUAUGUUGUUGGGGUUAGAUUUCACCAACUUCCCUCUCAUGUAUAUACGAAUUCUUCUUUAUUCAUUAAUGCCAAUGUCCCUCACUAAAACACUU